UACGUAGGGUGCGAGCGUUGUCCGGAAUUAUUGGGCGUAAAGGGCUCGUAGGCGGUUUGUCGCGUCGGGAGUGAAAUCCACUGGCUUAACUGGUGGCUUGCUUUCGAUACGGGCAGACUGGAGGUAUGCAGGGGAGAACGGAAUUCCUGGUGUAGGCGGUGAAAUGCGCAGAUAUCAGGAGGAACACCGGUGGCGAAGGCGGUUCUCUGGGCAUGUCCUGACGCUGAGGAGCGAAAGUGUGGGGAGCGAACAGG
rnacentral:rRNA from 1 species